GAACCGCGUACUUUUUGUAGAACGGUCCGGCGAGUUACGCUGGCUGGCGAGGUUAAGGGCUGAAGGCCUGGAGCCGAAGGGAAACCGAGUCUGAACAGGGCGAAAUAGUCAGUCGGAGUAGACCCGAAACCGGGUGAUCUAUCCAUGUCCAGGUUGAAGUUGCCGUAAAAGGCAAUGGAGGACCGAACCCACAUCCGUUGAAAAGGGUGGGGAUGAGGUGUGGAUAGGGGAGAAAUUCCAAUCGAACCCGGAGAUAGCUGGUUCUCCUCGAAAUAGCUUUAGGGCUAGCCUCAUGCAAGUCUUACGGAGGUAGAGCACUGAAUUCCUAAGGGGGCGUCAAAGCUUACCAAGGGAUAUCAAACUCCGAAUGCCGUGUAGAUGGUGCAUGGGAGUCAGACUAUCCGAGAUAAGUUGGGUAGUCAAAAGGGAAAGAGCCCAGACCUACAGCUAAGGUCCCAAAAUGUGUGUUAAGUGGAAAAGGAUGUGGGAUUUCGAAGACAACUAGGAUGUUGGCUUAGAAGCAGCCAUCCAUUAAAAGAGUGCGUAAUAGCUCACUAGUCGAGAGGUCCUGCGCCGAAAAUGUCCGGGGCUGAAACACACUACCGAAGCUUGGGAAUUGACGAAUGUUAAUUGGUAGAGGAGCAUUCUUAACGGGGCGAAGCUGUACCGGAAGGAGCAGUGGACUGUUAAGAAGAGAGAAUGCCGGAAUGAGUAGCGAGAGGAAGGUGAGAAUCCUUCCGGCCGAAUAUCUAAGGUUUCCAGAGUAAAGCUGAUCUGCUCUGGGUAAGUCGGGGCCUAAGGCGAGGUCGAAAGACGUAGUCGAUGGAUAACAGGUAAAGAUUCCUGUACUAUAUCAUAACAGAACUGUGGGGACGCAGACAGAGAGCAUAAGCCGGGAAUGGAAAGACCGGUACAAGCGAGGUAGGAGUGCAUCAGGCAAAUCCGGUGCACAAUCUGAAGACGUGAUGUGGGGCGUAAAGCCGGAAGUAUGUGAGCUGGCUGCCAAGAAAAGCCGCUAUUGUUUAUGAUAUACCCGUACCGUAAACCGACACAGGUGGAUGAGGAGAGAAUCCUAAGGCCGACGGGAGAAGCAUUGUUAAGGAACUCGGCAAAAUGACUCCGUAACUUCGGGAGAAGGAGUGCCAUGUAAAAGUGGCCGCAGAGAAUUGGCCCAAGCAACUGUUUAGCAAAAACACAGGUCUAUGCAAAACCGAAAGGUGAGGUAUAUGGGCUGACGCCUGCCCGGUGCUGGAAGGUUAAGGGGAGAGGUUAGUCGUAAGGCGAAGCUUUGAACUUAAGCCCCAGUAAACGGCGGCCGUAACUAUAACGGUCCUAAGGUAGCGAAAUUCCUUGUCGGGUAAGUUCCGACCCGCACGAAAGG
rnacentral:rRNA from 1 species